UGGGGGAAUAUUGGACAAUGGGCGAAAGCCUGACCCAGCAACGCCGCGUGAAGGAAGAAGGCUUUCGGGUUGUAAACUUCUUUUACCAGGGACGGAGGACGUGACGGUACCUGGAGAAAAAGCCACGGCUAACUACGUGCCAGCAGCCGCGGUAAUACGUAGGUGGCAAGCGUUGUCCGGAUUUACUGGGUGUAAAGGGCGUGUAGGCGGAGCAGCAAGUCAGAUGUGAAAUCUCCGGGCUUAACCCGGAAACUGCAUUUGAAACUGUUGCCCUUGAGUAUCGGAGAGGCAGGCGGAAUUCCUAGUGUAGCGGUGAAAUGCGUAGAUAUUAGGAAGAACACCAGUGGCGAAGGCGGCCUGCUGGACGACAACUGACGCUGAGGCGCGAA
rnacentral:rRNA from 1 species